rnacentral:rRNA from 1 species
GUUGGGAAUCUUGGACAAUGGGGGAAACCCUGAUCCAGCCAUGCCGCGUGAGUGAUGAAGGCCUUCGGGUUGUAAAACUCUUUCGACGGGGACGAUAAUGACGGUACCCGUAGAAGAAGCUCCGGCUAACUUCGUGCCAGCAGCCGCGGUAAUACGAAGGGGGCUAGCGUUGUUCGGAAUUACUGGGCGUAAAGCGCGCGCAGGCGGCUAUCCAAGUCAGUGGUGAAAGCCCGGAGCUCAACUCCGGAACUGCCAUUGAAACUGUUUAGCUUGAGGACGAGAGAGGUGAGUGGAAUUCCCAGUGUAGAGGUGAAAUUCGUAGAUAUUGGGAAGAACACCAGUGGCGAAGGCGGCUCACUGGCUCGUAUCUGACGCUCAGGCGCGAUAGCGUGGGGAUCAAACAGGAUUAGAUACCCCGGUAGUCC